AGCAUAAUGGACUGGGCCACAGUGGGUGGGUGGCCGCUGGGAUAGGGCAGGUAAGGAGAGGGGAAGGCGGGAGAGGAAAGAGAGAGACUGAGAGAGAGAGAGAGAGAAACAGAGAGAGACAGAGCAAAAAACAGCAUGUGGCCAGAAUAGCAGGGUUAUAUAGAAGUGAGAAGCUGAGGGAGGGAAGCUCUGAGCUGCAGAACUGUGGGUAGGGGGCUCGUGGAGGAGCCAGGAUGCCAGCAUGGACUCUGUAACAGGCACUGCACAAGGCUCAGGGGAUGUGGAGUGAGCAAGAGCAGCUUGUCCUCAUCAAACAUAUCAUCUGGGCUAUAGGUGUUCCAUAGAAAUAAAAUGGCAAGCCGCAUCUCUCUAACUCUGGGAUUCCUA
rnacentral:lncRNA from 1 species